AAUUGCAGGAAAGAGAUUUAUUCCCACAGCAAGUUGUUACAGUGCGAGCCAGCAAUUGGCUGCCGGAUUUCGUCACUUAUUAAGGGUCUUUUUAGGAAAGGGAAAUUUCCGGAGGCAAGGGAGCUCUUUGAAGAGAUGCGGAGACAUGGUGUAGUUGCAGAUAGAGAAACAUACAACAUUUUUUUUUAUAUGAACUAUGAAGAAGGUAACAUGGACAUUACUCUUGAGCUCUGUGAUGAAGUUAUAGAGAAUUGUCUUGUGGGCAAACCCAAGAAUGAAGACAUGUAGCUGACUCUUGUGUGGUGCUCCUCUAUUGAGAUCUUUUGGACAGAAAUUGUCAGUUUUGGUUUCUCUGAACUUGCAUCUCGGGUAAUACAUCCAUCAUGGACCAAGAUAUGCAUAGUACCUGGGUAUCAAUAUUUGAUAUGAAUGGAAAGAUAGAUGAAGCUGGGCCAGUAGGAACCACACGUUCCAUAAACAUAUCCAAGGAAUCUCAAGAUGGUUGUUUUGUUCGAACAUUUAUCCGUUUGAAUUGAAUCACUGCUAAAAUGAUAAAAGAAGAUACACCAGCAUUCAAUGGUAGAGUUGGAGGUGUUAUGAGCAGAGAAGACGGACCCAAGAAUCUUACCUCA